rnacentral:rRNA from 1 species
CGUAGGGUGCGAGCGUUAAUCGGGAAUUACUGGGCGUAAAGUGUGCGCAGGCGGCAGAGCAAGUCGAGUGUGAAAGCCCCGGGCUUAACUUGGGAAUUGCGCUCGAAACUACUUUGCUGGAGUGUGGCAGAGGAAGGUGGAAUUCCACGUGUAGCGGUGAAAUGCGUAGAGAUGUGGAGGAACACCAAUGGCGAAGGCAGCCUUCUGGGCCAACACUGACGCUCAUGCACGAAAGCGUGGGGAGCAAACAGGAUUAGAUACCCUGGUAGUCCGCGCCCUAAACGAUGACGACUAGUUGUUGGAGGAGUUAAAUCCUUUAGUAACGCAGCUAACGCGCGAAGUCGUCCGCCUGGGGAGUACGGUCGCAAGAUUA